rnacentral:miRNA from 1 species
CAAUGAAAUAAUGAAAGGGCGU